CUGAGCUAAAGGAGCUGGUGGCCCAAAUCAGGGUAGCAGAGCUCAAACAGGGCAAGAGACUGACUCCCCAGGUGGCUGUCCCACAGCAGUGACAUAGCCUGACCUGGGUGAGAAGUGGGUAUACAAAAGGGGGCCUUCUGUAGGCUGCCAGGAGUUCAGAGAGGGUGAGGAAGGCGUCCAGACACAGAGGCUUCCCAGGCAAUGAGGCACAGGGCAUCCCAACCCAAGUGAGAACAGGGUCUGUGUGUGGCAGCAAAGUGAACACCAGGAAUGGUUGUCGAGAGCCACCCGUGGACUAUGUGUGGACCAAAUGGGCAUGGAAGCCCAUUGAAUGGGAAAAUCUGGUAUUUGGGAACUUCCAGUGGCGAUCCUGCUGUUAAGACCUCCCAGACACGUGAGUCCUAUUCAGGUCUGUCAAAUUCCCACAGCACCAGAGAUGGGGUGACCUUCUGCACAUGCAGCAUCUCAGAGGUGGGUGCAGCCUGCCAAGAUGCCAAUCAACUGUUGCUUGCAAGCCACCAUGAAGCAAGACUCCACCCUGAAACCUUACCACUGCCCUUGAUGUACCCCUUUAAAUAAAACCAUGGGAGCCAUUUUCUAAUUAUUCAGCUCCAGCUCCUGUUUGACCUGGACCUAUCAGGUGCUCUGCUUUUAAAAUAUAUUUUUUAACUCUGUCUUUUGUUUCUUCAUUAAUCAUUUCAGACUCUAUUUUCUCAGGUGGUUUAUCUCCUCCUGUGCUAGAAAAAUUACCCUGGCAAGGCACUGGUUGCCUCACAAUACAUGGAAAAAAGGGUCCCCGCAUAGGGUCAAUGAGGCCCAGGGCAUCCCAACCCAAGUGAGAACAGGGUCUGUGUGUGGCAGCAAAGAUAAGCGACAAACAGGGAGCUGGUGGAACAGUCUAUUAAGUGCAUUAAGAGUCAGUUUCUUG
rnacentral:lncRNA from 1 species